AAAUACCGCCAGGGGUGCAUUUCGCUGAGAGCUCCGGGGGGACGCACCGCGCGCGCCAUCCCCUUCGGGCAACCCGUCGAACCUGACCCGGGUAAUGCCGGCGCAGGGAGCGUGGUCCUCUUCGAAC
rnacentral:ncRNA from 1 species